CUUCUUUCCUUCUUCGCCAAAGCUAGUUCGUCCACGAUCUCCUUUGUCCACCAUCUCCUUUAUCCACUACCUCCUCACAGUGUGUGUAUAUUCCAGAGAAACUCAUUGUUCAUUUGGACUUUUCUUAAGAAAAUUUCAUAUUUGGUUGAAGAAUAUAAACCCAUUGUUGAUUGUUUAAAACCCUAGUCAUCCGGCUAGCUAAUAAAUAGACCAGGGUAUGUUCUCAUGGAUGAAAGUUUACGUUUUGUGUUUGAAUAAUAUAAGAUCAGUGAAAAAUGUGGCUACUUUAGGUUUUGCGCUUUAAAGAUUUGUAUGGGAUUAUGACGUUUGUCUAUGGAUUCUCUAAUAUAUGAUAUGCUUGUAACGUGGAUUCAAGUCUUGCAAACAAGAAGACAGUGACCAUCCAGCCAACUAACAAGGUACAAGGUGUCGUCUUCACCACCACCAGAUUUGUGUAUCUCUACUACUUUAGAUGUUUGUUUCUUAGACUAUUUCAAGAACAUGUUAUUAUUGUCUUGUUCAGACUUGAAGAAGUGUAUUUAUAGUUAUUUUUGUGCUUGAAUUUCAUCUAAUUGCAAAAAGAUAUUUGUUUAUUGAUUUACAGACUCAUUUUCUAGAAAAAGUUAGCUAUGGCCUUAACAUGAUUACUUUAGCUGUAAUAUUUUUGUUAAUAUUUUGAAAUGAAGUCUAAAUGUUUUUUUUUCACAUGAUAAUGGAGGUUGAAUCUAGUAUAAUGCACGAGAUGAAUCCAACCGUUGGCAUUCAGUAUAGUGUUUGGAAAAAAAUCAAGCAUUCCCCAGAAAUUAUAUGCAGUCGCAUCUAAUUAUCUGUACCAUAAAUCUGAGUGUUUUGAUGUUGGUGAAAACAUGGUGAGAUGAUUUCCUUAAAUUUUUUUAAUACCAUUAUGCACUUUUUAUUUGGUUUAUAUGUUUUGUUUUUAUAGAGUACUGCUUAUGAGUUGAGUUAUGAUGAUGCAACUAAUCCGGCUAUAAAACAGAUAUGUUAUUUAGAUGAUCAGGUAGCAAUUUAUUUUAUGAUGUCAAUUAAUUUAUAUUCUAAGUCUGAAAUUCUCCAUAUUGUGUUUGCAUCAAGUCAAUGAAUCUUUUUUUGCUGUCAGCUGGACAACUAAAGAAGAUAAGCAUUACAUACUUUCUGGAGGAUUAAUGAGCAUAAUCCAAGUCAUUCAUAAACAAAUAGUGUUUUUUUAUUCUCAUGUUUAAUAUUGAUUUACAGACUUUGUCUGUUCAUAAAGAUGAUAUCAGUGACACACAAUGUAGUCCAUAAAAUGAUGCACUUGUGUUAAGUUCAAGCAAGGUGAUACAAUAUUUCAUGUUUAUUUUACAAUAUUUUUUGUUAUUUAAUCUUUAGCUAUAAUGGAAACCUUUCAGGAUAAAUCAGUUCGAUUGUGAGGUAUUAAAACCUUGUGUAUGCUUUGUAAAAUGAUGCCAGAACUCACAUGCACUUCUUUCAGCGUCUUUUUAUCUUUCAAAUAGAUAUCUGGUGUUCAGUUCUUGUGCAGACAAAUGUGUGAGACUGAUGUAUCUACAAGGAGCUUAUGUUGCUAAUCGGUGGACUAACAAAAUUACAAGACCGUAAAUGGAGAACAGUAUGGUAAACCAAUAAAACUUAAAAGAGUAUCGUUUCAUAGCAUUGACUGUGUCCGCUGUUUGGAUAAGCAAGUGUUUGCUUUUCCCUAUUAAAGAUAGUGGAUUUCGAAGUUUGGAUUGCAGUGGGUAAGAAAAAAAGUUUACAAUAUAUAUGUUGUAUUUUAUUAUUUUAAAUCAUUUACUAUUACAUUAGGAAACCAAAAAGGAGAUAUUUUUGUCUUUGAUGUGAAUUCUGAUAAUCCGGUUCAACUAGUUGCCAUGUGAGUACAUCUAAGAAACCUUACUUUUUCUGCUUAAUUUACUUCUUUUUUAGAUCUAACGCAAUUUGUUUUUUGUAAAUAGUUCAUCAGAUCAUGAUUCAGAUAACCUGAUCUGACAUACUGCCAUUAGUGCCACUGGAAGGUAUCAAUAGGGGUGGGCAUAUCGAUUUAGUUUCGGAUUCGGUUUGGGUCCGGUUUGGUUAAUUUGGAUUUUAUAAAACUCAAUCCAAUUAAAACUAAAGUAGCUCUGGUUUGAAUUCGGUUUGGGUUUAUUUUUGGUUCGGUUUGAUUCGGUUUGGUUUAGAUUUAAUUUGAUUUGGCUUUGAUUUAGUUCGGUUUACUUUAUUAUGGUUUAGUUUGGUUCGGUAUAGUUUGGAUAUGCGAACUAUAAAAGAUCAAAUGAGAAUAUAAACUUUGUUAGCUAAAAAUAUAUUACUAAAAGUAAACAAAAAAUGUAUCUAAAAACUAAAAAUAUCAAAUGUUAACUUUGUUACAUAAUUUUACCUUUAGACAAUAGAUAAUG